rnacentral:rRNA from 1 species
GCGACGAACCAGGGCUUGCCCUGGGGCUAAGCCGCGAACGGGUGAGUAACACGUGAGUAACCUGCCCCGAUGACCGGGACAACCCGAGGAAACUCGGGCUAAUACCGGAUGUGGCGCACAGGUCUAAGCCUGUUCGCUAAAGGAAGCUUCGGCCUCCGCAUUGGGAGGGGCUCGCGGCCCAUUAGCUUGUUGGUGGGGUAACGGCCUACCAAGGCAACGAUGGGUAGCUGGUCUGAGAGGACGAUCAGCCACACUGGGACUGAGACACGGCCCAGACUCCUANNNNNGGCAGCAGNNNNNNAUCUU